UUCUCAGCUGUUCCGCUCUACAGUGAGAAGCGUCACAGGUCAUCAUCACGGGUCUAACUUUCCUCUCUACUCGAUCCCCUGCUUCCUCAACAAAGGAGAUGAUGCGGCAUCCUGGUCAUGGUCAUCAUGUUAUGGAAUGUCGUCGAAUGGGGGAGAUCAGCACACGUCGAACCGAGCUCUUAUCUCUCUAUAUGGCAACGAACUUCUUCGAGAAUCCCAGAACACACGCAAAGCCUUGAGCUUGAUUCACUUCCGACGCCAUUGGCGGCCCUUCAAGAGGAAACCGAUUUCAGGCCCCGUCGCUCUGCACGCGGAUCGUUCGACGUGGGUUCGUUUUGUAGAUUCGGAUAAGGCCGUCGUAGUUUCGAUCGAGUCGCAACGACCGAUCCCCCGCGCUAAAGGCAGAUAGAGAGAGAGAGUGGGCGCGACAAUAUCCAACAGGAGCAGUUCUCUGUGAAAUUUGGGCUUUUCAGGGGGAGAGACGAGAAGCGGUCGAUGACGGGGGUUUUUCGAGAGGGAUUUGUGGGAGUGGAUCGAAUCGGCAAAGGGGUUGAAAUUGGAGUUUGAUCGAGAGACGGGAGGAAGGAGGGAGAGAGGAGAGAGAAAAUGGGGUGUUGCUUUUUCGGAUGUGAGAGGAGGAGGCAACGGUGGCGUGCACAACGACGCCGUCGACCACCUCUUCCGAGCUCGCAGUCAACCCGCUCUCUUCUCGCAAAUUGAGACCUGAGUCAACGUUGUCGGCAUUGUCGGGCGAGACAAUGAUUUGGCCAGAAGAAACCAGUCUAUCAGAGGAUUGUUAGCAGAAAAACUGAGAAGCAUUCUUCACAGUGGGGAUUCUCCUCAAACCUCGCCACUGGACUAAUUGAUGUUGUAUUAUCAAACAACUUCUGGUGAUGUGUUUCCAACGUGCUCGUCUAAUUGGAGUUUUCUUCUUGUUUUCCUCAUUAGACUUGACUUAAGGGGAUUUCUUUUAUUUUCUUCAAACCAAAAUAUUAGUCUGCCUUGCGAGCUAUGACCUGUCGAAACUCAUGCAAAUGACAAGAAUCGCAUGCCACUGCAAAUUUAGUGGGAAUGAUUUGCAUCAGUUUGUUCAAAAGGGGUGAUGGUUUAGACAUAGUCUAACUAAGCUUUGCACUUGUACUCCUUGACAAUGUUCAUUUUUCAGAAACAAAGUUACUAUCUGAAUUAUGUGUCACCUUUCAAAAUCUAAACUUGGCGUCGCUGAUUAAGCAUAGAUGUGAAUAGGAUAUCUGGGUAAGAGCUAGUACAAAUUAAGCAUAUCAUACUUUUCAACAACAAACUUCCUGCGAUGCAAAUAGUGUAAUCAUGGGCGUCAAUCUUGAAAUUCAAUGCCCAUAGUUUGUAAGAUGUGUGUUAUUGUCUAUGCUGCAGUUAUCCUGGCUGACGUCAUGUCAAAGGUGAGAAACUUCAUUAGCAUUUUCAGGUACAUCUUGCUACUAGUAUGUAGUUUUUCUAUUUUGUCUGCAUCUUGCUUUCACAUUCACGUGGGAUCUUCUUGGUUCUUUUUUAUUUGGUUGUCAUAGAAGGGUGUAACUUCUUCUUCUUCUGAAGUAAAAUUUCAACUACAUAACUUAAAACUUGAUUUUCUGUCUUCUUAUGCUUGCAAAAAUUUAGGACAUCACAGUGUAUGAUGUAUGCAUUUCUGGUUGGUGCCUGUUAUUUAUAAGACUGUCUUUGCAUGCAUAUGUCAUGCUAUUUUCUGCAUAACUUGUGUGUGGCAAAUCUCUUCUGCCAAAAUUUCUGCAAGAGCAACUUCAGCUUUUGUCAAAACUUGCAUAUAUACUCUUGAUCAAAUUACUCUUGAUCAAAUUUCAGGUUGUGUAAGAAACCUGAACUGAUAUAGUUAAGUAGCUCAUAAUUACAAUAAAUGACUAAUUCCUGUAGAUUUUUGCAUGUUUGUGUUUCCUUCUUUUCUGCCCAAAUUCGAGCUUGCUUAAAGGUUUAUGAACUUUGAUCAAUGGUUUCUUGUAGAAUGAUCCAAUGGUAGCUGUGUAGUUGAGGAAAAGAGAAGGAAUGCUUGAGGAACUUGGGAGGACAAAAGUUAUAUUAAAUAGUUUGGAUCCUGCAUGGAUUGAAAGAAUUUUUAAGCUUAUCACUUUGAGACUGUUCAUCAUCUGGUGUGAGCUUUCCACGUAUGGCAAAGUAUAAUUUAUUCAGCCCGUGUUUAGUCUUGACUAUAUUAUGUAAAACCAUUUGUUUGUUUACGUUUCAUGUAUAUGAUGUUGACACAAAAUGUUGCAACGUACCUGUGAAGGUGUGUCAGUUAUUUUAAUCAUUUCACAUAGUUUGAUGUUUCUUUUUGGAUUUUCAAUAACAUUGUUUCUUUUUUCCUAUCUUUGGUUUAUUUUCCCCUCUGAAUUUUAUGGGUGAAGCCAGAGCUAUGCAUGGCCUUUCCUGGUUAUACAUGAACAAUGUAUCCAACUGCAAUUCUAUGUUCUACGUCACAUUUCAGUCAAUCUUCCUUAGGGUCUAACUCAAAUUCAAUGAAAAUGGAGAGACUGUUUGGAGUAAUAUAAGGAGUUGUCUCAGAUUGAUUCCAAAGUUUCUCCAACUUAUAUACUAGCUACUUUUACUAUCAUUAUAGAUCAACUGCAUUUUUGGUUUUGUCCUAAAGUAGGAAUUAUAAAGACAAGGGUUCAUCUCUUUUCUUACCUUUGAUGUUCAAGUGUGGUAGGACGACACUUUCCCAGGUAAAUUGGUUUAUCUGUCUUGCAGUCUACACAAUGUUAUGUCCAUGGAAUUCUGGAAAUACAAAAUGAAUGCAUUGGACAAUCUUAUUUUUGCAUGGGAAUUUGAAUGUUAAAUGGCGUUUAAGUAAUCAUGACUUGCAAUCAUGCUUAUUUGGGAAAUAUGUACUAGUCCAUUCAGAUUACUUGGGUUUCUAUUUGCCUUUUGUCUUUCCAUGUGAAGAAGAAGAAAUCUCGAUAGAAUCUUGAUCGGGAGGUUUCAGUGCAGACGUUAAAGCUGAAGGACCAAGAGUUUUUAGUAGAGGCUAGCCAUGUGCUGUCAGAGAUAGUCACAAAGCAAAGUUGGAGUUUGACCCUGUCGUUUCAUAAUAAAAAUUUACUAGUAGGCUUGAGAAACCUGGUUACUCUUGACUGCCCAUGCUGAGGAAUCUGUUGCUUCCAGGACUGCUGUUGAAAUAAUAUUCUGCUGCUCCCAGUUGGAAAACAAAGAUAACUUUUCUAAAAGUGUAAGCUCUUCAAAACUCUCUUGAAAGGUCCCAUUUGAUAUUGUUCCUUGCCAUAUCUUUUCAUUGUUUUAGUCUUGUACUCUGUUGUUACCUCUUCUUAGGAUCCUUUUCUGAGAAUUUCCAGACUAGUUGAGUCUGGGAGUUCUCUUACUAUUUGCUAAACCGAAGUUAUCAAGGACAAGUUUUACACAGAACCUGCAAUCAUAUUGUCUAAUAUUUACUGCACUAGUGAUUUGGCAUACUGUAAGACUUGUUGCAGGAGAAUUUAUAAGUCAUUGAUUGCUAUGACUUUGAUACUACUGGGAACCAUGCACUCAUAAGGUCAAUGCCUACUCUAAUGCAAUAUGUAGUACUUAGGCUUUUUGUAUGCUAAUUUGCUUCUCGUUUAUUACAGUAAACUUCAGAAGACCAUGGCAGACUUGGAGGAACUUCAUAAAGAAAAAAAUGUUGCAAAUUUCACUUUACCAGCUUCUCAUCAUGGCCAUGAAAAGGCGUGUGUCAUUCUUAAAUAGUUUAAUACUCUUCAUUCUGAUGAGCCCUUUCAGGUUUAUAACUUCUUUGUAUAGGUUCUAAAGAGUCAGCUUUUCAUGGAUCAAUUUUGUGAGAAGCAACAGUACAGCUUUCUUGAUUACAUUAUCACGUGGUUUUUGAGCUUCUAUAAUUGCUGUCAACUUUACAGCUUCAAAUGGAAAUCCCAGAAAUCCAGAUUCCUUGCAUGACAAUGAUCCUUCAGGAAGAUACAAUUCCUACUGGCAGGUGGCCGGUCACUAGUGCCAGCGACCUCACCAAAGCGUUGCGGCUCUCGGCGAGGUCGGUCCUCAUCAACCGAGCCUCGCCAGAUCUAGCGAGGCCGAGCAUUGCCGGUGGCCAAAUGGUAGUGAGGCCGCUUGGCUACCAGCAAGGCUGGGCAAGCCUCACUGGGGCUAAGCAAGGCCUGCUUGGCCAUCGACGAGGCUCAGCCUUGCCAAAUCACGAGGCAUGCCUAGCCCCGCCGAGCUUUGUCGGACUUCGCUCUGGCCUGGCGAGUCUCCGGCGAGCUCGUUGGACUGGUUGCUGGCGACCAGCAGCGGUGGGCAGUGGACGGUGGCGGACGGCAAUCGCAACGGUGGCGGUGA